CAGAGAAGGGAGACACAGAGUGAUAAAGAAGGAGAGAAAGGAACAAAUAGAAAGGCAGGCUGAGUGACUGAGAGGAAAGACAGAUCAGAAGAAAGCGGACAUUGAGGGAAAGAGGUAUGGAAAGUGGAGAGGGAGACUGAAGAACAGAGAGGGAAAAUGGAUGGGUACAGAAAGAAGGUACGAAGAGAAGCUGGUGGGAGAGACUAAGGAGGAAUUUCAGACUCUCA
rnacentral:lncRNA from 1 species